rnacentral:rRNA from 1 species
AUUGAACGCUGGCGGCAGGCCUAACACAUGCAAGUCGAACGAGUGGCGGACGGGUAAGUAAUGUCUGGGAAACUGCUCGAUGGAGGGGGAUAACUACUGGAAACGGUAGCUAAUACCGCAUACCAUCGGAUGUGCCCAGGUGGGAUUAGCUAGUAGGGGGGGUAACGGCCCACCUAGGCGACGAUCCCUAGCUGGGCUGAGUGGAUGACCAGCCACCCUGGAACUGAGACACGGUCCAUACUCCUACGGGAGGCAGCAGUGGGGAAUAUUGCACAAUGGGCGAAAGCCUUAUGCAGCCAUGCCGGGUGUAUGAAGAAGGCCUUCGGGUUGUAAAGUACUUUCAGCUGGGAGGCGUUACUCGCAGAAGAAGCACCGGCUAACUCCGUGCCAGCAGCCGCGGUAAUUC